UGAGCGUGUAGUAGUGCAAG
rnacentral:misc_RNA from 1 species